GUUGAGAGUCCCUGCUCGAGCUUGAAUAAAUGACCCUCGUGUGUUUGCAUUGGAAUCGGCUCCUUGGUGGUCUUCGGGGUCCUCACGAUGUGGGCACAACAGGUGAAGAGCUCAGGAAGGAAACCAAGAUGGCUGACGGACGUGCUGGUCCCAACACUCGCGCGAAGCUGCAUUUCAUAUGAGUGGCCGUGGAGACCGCUGACUCUCACCACCGGAAAGACUGGAACUUUGUCCGACUCCAAGUCCCAGGAGGACAGCACAGGAAGAGUAAACAACCGCCCUAGAACUGCCUGAGGAGUGGGGAGCUCACCUUUGCCAGUGAGAGGUGGAGCCAGCAGACACAGUCACCCUGCUUGCUGGCAGUCUGAGCUUCUGCAGUCUCAGUCCUCACAAGUUUACAGCCCAGUGAGGGACACAUCCUUUGUGUGAACAGUGUUUGCCCAUAGAGGAAGUCACAUCAUCUCCAACACCCAGGCAGCUGCAGCUAGGGGCCAUCUUGAGGAGGGAGCUAUCUCUACAUUUCUAUUGCUCUAGGAGUCAGGAACCCCUGCAAGUGCCCUGUCUGGGACCUCAUGGAGAGGCUACCAAAGGAGCACAGGGGUUACCAGCUCAGCUCAGAGAGCUCAGAGAGCACCUCCUACCCAGCACCCCAGCCCACUCAGAAUCCUUGUUCCAAGAGACAGAUGUUUAGGCACAGGGAGCACUAUACUGCCCUUGAGAACUGGGGUACAAGGGUUUGCACCAAUCAAAAUUAAAACUGGAAAGAAAAGAUGUCAGGGAAUUCCUCUCAAUAUAGUGAUGAGUUCAUGCUAUAAGGCGUCCCUGGCCUGAUGCAAAAAAAGGCGAGAAGACUCAGGAUGACCCCAGCCUUAAUUUAAAUUAGGAAGGCAAAUCCUGACUGUUCCCAGUCUGCUGAAUGGAAUUAUGACUGACAGAAAGUUAUGGGCAAAAGGUAAAAGGACAAAACUAAAUACAUGACUAGGAACAGAGCUACAAACACUCCCUGCUCUUAGAGAUUAGGCUGAGACUCAAAUUACAAAAUGCCAUUUUGAACUGGUGGCCAGAGAACCAGAUUGAGGUAAUCACAAAACUCACUAACUCCAAAACCCGUGAAAAAGUUGAAUGGUAAAAAGGACAAAUGAAUAAUAGACAGCAAUCAAACAUUAACAUCAGAUAAAUGUGUACUCUAGAAGAAAUGUAACUACAUGGAACAAUUUGGGAGACUUAAAAAUAUAUUCAUCCUCAAAGCCAUAAAUGAUAGCCUAUAAAUUUUGAAAGAAACCAAUAAAUUAAUAGCCAAAAAAUUAAUAAAUAAGAAGGAAUUAAUCAAAAAAGAGUGAGAAAGAAUUUUAGAGUUGUAAAAUACAAUCACUGAAAUGAAAAGCUCAAAGCCUAAUUUAAAAAUUAAAAAUGAAUCUAUAGAAUUGAAGGUAACAUUACAAAGAUAGCAUAGAGACAAAGGCACAAAUGUCAUCAAGUAAUUAAGAAGUGAACAGUUAAUAGGUGUGACCAACACAAUUCAAGAAAUGAUGGAGAAUAGUUGAGAAUUUUGUAUGUGUACAUGAUUAGCAAAUCAAGAAUAAGCUCACAAUGUCAAGCAAAAUAAUAAAUACAAAUGCACAGAGUCCAUCAUAUUCAAGCAAAACAAAUCUUAUGAACUACUAGAGAGAAAAAAAGAGAUUAUCCCAUCAAGCAAACAGCAUGACAGAAACUUUGUAUCUACUAUUAGAAUCCAUAAGUCUGUAAAGUAUUAAAAAUUGUUAACAGAAAAAUCAGUGAGUGUGAAAUUUUAGACAUCAUUUAAAAUAGCAAAAUAAUAAUGUUGAUAUCUUUCAUAAAAAGAAUAAACACAUGCCUUCUGCUCUAAACAAGAAGUCACAGAAAUAGUUUUUUU
rnacentral:lncRNA from 1 species